rnacentral:rRNA from 1 species
GACGAACGCUGGCGGCGUGCUUAACACAUGCAAGUCGAACGGAAAGGCCCUGCUUUUGUGGGGUGCUCGAGUGGCGAACGGGUGAGUAACACGUGAGUAACCUGCCCUUGACUUUGGGAUAACUUCAGGAAACUGGGGCUAAUACCGGAUAGGAGCUCCUUCUGCAUGGUGGGGGUUGGAAAGUUUCGGCGGUUGGGGAUGGACUCGCGGCUUAUCAGCUUGUUGGUGGGGUAGUGGCUUACCAAGGCUUUGACGGGUAGCCGGCCUGAGAGGGUGACCGGCCACAGUGGGACUGAGAUACGGCCCAGACUGCUACGGGAGGCAGCAGUGGGGAAUAUUGCACAAUGGGCGGAAGCCUGAUGCAGCAACGCCGCGUGCGGGAUGACGGCCUUCGGGUUGUAAACCGCUUUCGCCUGUGACGAAGAGUGAGUGACGGUAAUGGGUAAAGAAGCAACGGCUAACUACGUG